AGAGUUUGAUCCUGGCUCAGAUUGAACGCUGGCGGCAUGCUUUACACAUGCAAGUCGGACGGCAGCACAGAGAAGCUUGCUUCUUGGGUGGCGAGUGGCGAACGGGUGAGUAAUAUAUCGGAACGUACCGAGUAAUGGGGGAUAACUAAUCGAAAGAUUAGCUAAUACCGCAUAUUCUCUGAGGAGGAAAGCAGGGGACCUUCGGGCCUUGCGUUAUUCGAGCGGCCGAUAUCUGAUUAGCUAGUUGGUGGGGUAAAGGCCUACCAAGGCGACGAUCAGUAGCGGGUCUGAGAGGAUGAUCCGCCACACUGGGACUGAGACACGGCCCAGACUCCUACGGGAGGCAGCAGUGGGGAAUUUUGGACAAUGGGCGCAAGCCUGAUCCAGCCAUGCCGCGUGUCUGAAGAAGGCCUUCGGGUUGUAAAGGACUUUUGUCAGGGAAGAAAAGGCUGUUGCUAAUAUCGACAGCUGAUGACGGUACCUGAAGAAUAAGCACCGGCUAACUACGUGCCAGCAGCCGCGGUAAUACGUAGGGUGCGAGCGUUAAUCGGAAUUACUGGGCGUAAAGCGAGCGCAGACGGUUACUUAAGCAGGAUGUGAAAUCCCCGGGCUCAACCUGGGAACUGCGUUCUGAACUGGGUGACUAGAGUGUGUCAGAGGGAGGUAGAAUUCCACGUGUAGCAGUGAAAUGCGUAGAGAUGUGGAGGAAUACCGAUGGCGAAGGCAGCCUCCUGGGAUAACACUGACGUUCAUGCUCGAAAGCGUGGGUAGCAAACAGGAUUAGAUACCCUGGUAGUCCACGCCCUA
rnacentral:rRNA from 1 species